AGUGUAAUUUUCUCCCAACUUAGGCGUAAGAGAUGCACACCACGAUCUUAAUUUUCAAAAAGCCUUCGUUUCGUUUGUUCAAAUUUGAAUUUUCUUUAGUAAGAAACAGGAAGUGAAAGCAAAGAUGGCGGGAACAGGUCUACCACAAAAUCUCCCUUUUCUUUUACAUCGGCUUGCUUCAGAUAAAUCCAGAGAAGGCCAGAAUUGCUCUGAUUCAAGAUGAAACAUCCACUGCUGGAUCUGAUGAAGGAGUUUAAGGAUUUCUUACAUAAUGGUAGCUGUCACUUGAGAUUGGAUUCAACAUGGGAGUCAACCAAGGGCAACCAGAACUUUCGUUUAGUGCUUUUCCUAUUAGCAGGUUCCAAUUUGUUGCUUUUCUUGGAUCUUCUGCCCCUAUCACCGUUCGAGUUUUCAAAGAGAUUAAACAGCAUUACAUAAUUUUUGGAAUUAUUUCAUACCCGAGAACAUAGAUAUCAACAGCAUCCUGGGGUUUCAGCCAUUCUUCUAAAUCAACAGCUAAACUUCCUACAGGAGCUCUUCCAGCAACAUUCCAAGUUCCUACAAAAAUCCUGAGCCAUGGAGGAAAGUUAGCUAAAUUGAACUUUAACCCCCCCUUUUUUUUUCCUUUAUUGUUUAAGCCUGUAAAACUCACCUUAACUCAUUAGUUGAAGUGCAUGGAUCUAUCUCUAACGAACUAACAUAAAUGUCUUCCAUGAAA